rnacentral:rRNA from 1 species
UACGGAGGGGGCUAGCGUUGUUCGGAAUUACUGGGCGUAAAGGGCGCGUAGGCGGCGCGAUAAGUUGGGCGUGAAAGGCCCGGGCUCAACCCGGGGACUGCGCUUGAUACUGUCGCGCUGUGAGUCCGGGAGAGGAUGGCGGAAUUCCCAGUGUAGAGGUGAAAUUCGUAGAUAUUCGCAAGAACACCAGUGGCGAAGGCGGCUCACUGGCCCGAUACUGACGCUGAGGCACGAAAGCGUGGGGAGCAAACAGG